rnacentral:rRNA from 1 species
GACGAACGCUGGCGGCGUGCUUAACACAUGCAAGUCGAACGGAAAGGCCCUGCUUUUGUGGGGUGCUCGAGUGGCGAACGGGUGAGUAACACGUGAGUAACCUGCCCUUGACUUUGGGAUAACUUCAGGAAACUGGGGCUAAUACCGGAUAGGAGCUCCUGCUGCAUGGUGGGGGUUGGAAAGUUUCGGCGGUUGGGGAUGGACUCGCGGCUUAUCAGCUUGUUGGUGGGGUAGUGGCUUACCAAGGCUUUGACGGGUAGCCGGCCUGAGAGGGUGACCGGCCACAUUGGGACUGAGAUACGGCCCAGACUCCUACGGGAGGCAGCAGUGGGGAAUAUUGCACAAUGGGCGGAAGCCUGAUGCAGCAACGCCGCGUGCGGGAUGACGGCCUUCGGGUUGUAAACCACUUUCGCCUGUGACGAAGCGUGAGUGACGGUAAUGAGUAAAGAAGCAACGGCUAACUACGUG